rnacentral:tRNA from 1 species
GCGGGGGUAGCCGAGCCUGGUCAAAGGCGGCAGGCUCAAGACCUGCUCCCGAAGGGGUUCGUGGGUUCAAAUCCCACCCCCCGCACCA